UACCAGCACCCCGAGUGGUCGGGCCGAUUAUUGGGCCUAAAGCAUCCGUAGCCGGUUCUGCAAGUCCCCCGUUAAAUCCAGCUGCUCAACAGAUGGGCCGCGGAGGAUACUACAGAGCUAGGAGGCAGGAGAGGCAAGCGGUACUCAGUGGGUAGGGGUAAAAUCCGUUGAUCCAUUGAAGACCACCAGUGGCGAAGGCGGCUUGCCAGAAUGCGCUCGACGGUGAGGGAUGAAAGCUGGGGGAGCAAACCGG
rnacentral:rRNA from 1 species